rnacentral:lncRNA from 1 species
UAUAGAUCAUAAUAUAUUUCCAUACACCAAAUAUAGUUGACCUUUGGCUUAUAAUAUUAGAUAAAAAGAUCAAAACUUAAAUACUUAACUUUGACCACUGAACCAUGAAAAUGAGGUCAAGGUCAGAUGACAUCUGCCCGCUAGACAUGUACACCUUACAAUCAUUCCAUACAACAAAUAUAGUAGACCUAUUGCAUAAAUUAUGAGAAAAACAGACCAAAACACAAAAACUUAACUAUAACCACUGAACCAUGAAAAUGAGGUCAAGGUCAGAUGACACCUGCCAGUUGGACAUGUACACCUUCCAGUCCUUCCAUACAUCAAAUAUACUAGCCCUAUUGCUUAUAGUAUCUGAGAUAUGGAC